UAAAUAAUUAUUAAAACAGGUGUCGAUUGUAAUCCGUAGUAUUACGAAUCGCUUAAAAGGGAAGAUGGGUGAAAAUCCCACGCGGUCCCGCCGCUGUAAGAGAAGAGUUCCUCCAGGGAUGCCACUGUAGUGAUAUGGGAAGGUUGGAGGUAAUGUUGACGCUUGAGCCAGAAGACCUGCCUGUUAUGCAAAACUCUG
rnacentral:ncRNA from 2 species